rnacentral:rRNA from 1 species
UACGGAGGAUGCGAGCGUUAUCCGGAUUUAUUGGGUUUAAAGGGUGCGUAGGCUGUUAUAUAAGUCAGUGGUGAAAUAUUCGGGCUCAACCGGGAUACUGCCAUUGAUACUGUAUAGCUGGAAUAUGGUUGCUGUGGGUGGAAUGUGUGGUGUAGCGGUGAAAUGCAUAGAUAUCACACAGAAUAUCGAUUGCGAAGGCAACUCACAAAGCCAUUAUUGACGCUGAUGCACGAAAGUGUGGGGAUCAAACAGGAUUAGAUACCCUGGUAGUCCACACUGUAAACGAUGAUAACUAGCUGUCGGCGAUACACAGUCGGUGGCCAAGCGAAAGCGAUAAGUUAUCCACCUGGGGAGUACGACCGCAAGGUUGAA